rnacentral:piRNA from 1 species
UAAAUUCCAAGUCCAACAGAUAACCACCA